rnacentral:rasiRNA from 1 species
CGAGACUUUGAACUAAAAACAGUUACC